rnacentral:rRNA from 1 species
AAAGAGUUAAAUAAUUAAUAAAGUUAUUGUAGCAAAAUUAUUUUAAAUAAUUAUUUUGAAAUGAAAUGUUAAUCGUUUUUAAAUAUAUCUAGUUUUUAUAGAAAAAAAUUUAAUUUUAAAUUUAUUAAAUAAUUUAAUUAAUUUGUUAAUUAAAUUAUUAAUUUAAAUUUUAUAAUUUAAGGGAUAAGCUUUAAAUUAAAUUUUUAUAAUAUGAUUUUUAUUUUUUGAAAAUUUUAUAAUUUAUAUUGUUAAUAAAUUUUAUUUUAUUAUAAAUAAUUUCAUAUUUAAUAAAAUUUAAAAAAUUAUAUUUAAUUUUUUAUAUAAAUAUUAUUUUAAAUUAAAAAAAUUUAGAAAUAAUGAUAAAAUUAGUAUAUUAUAAUUUAUUAUUUAAUUUUAAGUUUUUAUUAAUAAUUAAAUUAAUUAAAAGGAAUUCGGCAAAUAUUUAUUUUCACUUGUUUAUCAAAAACAUGUCUUUUUGUAUUUUAUUUAAAGUCUAAUCUGCCCACUGAUUUAAUAAAUUAAAGGGCUGCAGUAUAUUGACUGUACAAAGGUAGCAUAAUCAUUAGUCUCUUAAUUGGUGACUUGUAUGAAAGAUUGAAUGAGAAAUAUACUGUCUCUUAUUUAUUAUAUAGAAUUUAAUUUUUUAUUUAAAAAGUUAAAAUAAAUUAAAAAGACGAGAAGACCCUAUAGAGUUUUAUAAAUAUUUUUAUUAAAAAAUUAUUUAUAUUAUAAUUAAAUAUUAUUAUAAAAUUAUUUAUUUUGUUGGGGUGAUAAAAAAAUAAAUAAAACUUUUUUUAAAAGUUUAACAAAAAUAAUUGAAUGUUUGAUCCAUUAAUAAUGAUUAUAAGAUUAAAUUNCCUUAGGGAUAACAGCGUAAUUUUUUUUUUUAGUUCAAAUAAGAAAAAAAGUUUGCGACCUCGAUGUUGGAUUAAGAUAAAAUUUAAAUGCAAAAGUUUAAAAUUUUUG